rnacentral:rRNA from 1 species
AUGCUAUACUUCCAAGAAAAGCCUCUAAGCAUCAGGUUAUAUACUAAUCGUACCCCAAACCGACACAGGUGGUUAGGUAGAGAAUACUAAGGCGCUUGAGAGAACUCGGGUAAAGGAACUAGGCAAAAUAGUGCCGUAACUUCGGGAGAAGGCACGCUAACAUAUUAGUGAAAAAUAUACGUUUUAGCUAAAGUUAGCCGAAGAUACCAGCUGGCUGCAACUGUUUAUUAAAAACACAGCACUGUGCAAACACGAAAGUGGACGUAUACGGUGUGACGCCUGCCCGGUGCCGGAAGGUUAAAUGAUAUUGUUAUCUUUUAUAGAAAAGCUAUUGAUUGAAGCCCCGGUAAACGGCGGCCGUAACUAUAACGGUCCUAAGGUAGCGAAAUUCCUUGUCGGGUAAGUUCCGACCUGCACGAAUGGCGUAAUGAUGGCCAGGCUGUCUCUACCCGAGACUCAGUGAAAUUGAAAUCGCUGUGAAGAUGCGGUGUACCCGCGGCAAGACGGAAAGACCCCGUGAACCUUUACUAUAGCUUGAUAUUGAAUAUUAAAUAUUAAUGUGUAGGAUAGGUGGGAGGCUAAGAAAUAUUAACGCUAGUUGAUAUAGAGCCUAUCUUGAAAUACCACCCUUUAAUAUUUGAUAUUCUAACUUAGAUUCUUAAUCAGGGUCAAAGACAGUAUCUGGUGGGUAGUUUGACUGGGGCGGUCUCCUCCUAAAAAGUAACGGAGGAGCACAAAGGUUAGCUAAUCACGGUCGGACAUCGUGAGUUUAGUGUAAAGGCAUAAGCUAGCUUAACUGCGAGAAUGACAAUUCGAGCAGAUGCGAAAGCAGGUCUUAGUGAUCCGGUGGUUCUGUAUGGAAAGGCCAUCGCUCAACGAAUAAAAGGUACUCCGGGGAUAACAGGCUAAUACCGCCCAAGAGUUCAUAUCGACGGCGGUGUUUGGCACCUCGAUGUCGGCUCAUCACAUCCUGGGGCUGAAGUAGGUCCCAAGGGUAUGGCUGUUCGCCAUUUAAAGUGGUACGCGAGCUGGGUUUAGAACGUCGUAAGACAGUUCGGUCCCUAUCUGCCGUGGGCGUUGGAAGAUUGAGAGGGGCUGCUCCUAGUACGAGAGGACCGGAGUGGAUGUACCUCUGGUGUUCGGGUUGUCAUGCCAAUGGCAUUGCCCGGUAGCUAUGUACAGAAAAGAUAACCGCUGAAAGCAUAUAAGUGGGAAACUUGCCUCAAGAUUAGUCUUCCCAGAAGCAAAAGCUUCCUAAAGGGUUGUUAAAGACUAUAACGUUGAUAGGUCGGGUGUGUAAGCAUUGUAAAAUGUUGAGCUAACCGAUACUAAUUACCCGUGAGGCUUAACCU